UCUGAUUCAUUUUCAACUUGAUAUUCCUUCUUGAUGUAGCACCACAGUUCCUCAACUCAGGCACACUACACGAAACUCAAGCACAAGACCACAUUGUCUAAGACCCACAAGCCAAUGAAUACUCUCUCAAAUAUUUCCAGGAACACCACAUUCCCAAAAUAAUCUACUAUGAAGAACUUCCUGUGAAUCCAACUUCGUUACCUUUAUUUCCCUGAUACUGAUGCAUAGAAUCCCAUAAUUAACAUAAAAAUACCACAAGCCUUGACAUUUCCCAAUGAAAACACAGUCUCUAAUCAUAUACACAACCAUAAAACACCUAAUCGUUACAUGUAAAAUUCUUGAACACGAUAAAACCAUUCUCGAGAGUCACU
rnacentral:lncRNA from 1 species